rnacentral:rRNA from 1 species
UACGGAGGGGGCAAGCGUUAUUCGGAAUUAUUGGGCGUAAAGGGCGCGUAGGCGGCUAGAUGUGUCAGAGGUGAAAUCCCUCGGCUCAACUGAGGAACUGCCUUUGAAACUGUCUGGCUUGAGGCCGGGAGAGGGUAGCGGAAUUCCCAGUGUAGCGGUGAAAUGCGUAGAUAUUGGGAGGAACACCAGUGGCGAAGGCGGCUACCUGGACCGGUUCUGACGCUGAGGCACGAAAGCUAGGGUAGCAAACGGG